UACGAAGGGGGCUAGCGUUGCUCGGAUUGACUGGGCGUAAAGGGCGCGUAGGCGGUUUGUACAGUCAGACGUGAAAUUCCUGGGCUCAACCUGGGGGCUGCGUUUGAUACGUAUGGACUUGAGUUCGGAAGAGGGUCGUGGAAUUCCCAGUGUAGAGGUGAAAAUUCGUAGAUAUUGGGAAGAACACCGGUGGCGAAGGCGGCGACCUGGUCCGAUACUGACGCUGAGGAGCGAAAGCGUGGGGAGCGAACAGG
rnacentral:rRNA from 1 species